CACCGCCUGGGGAGUACGACCGCAAGGUUAAAACUCAAAUGAAUUGACGGGGACCCGCACAAGUAGUGGAGCAUGUGGUUUAAUUCGAAGAUACGCGCAGAACCUUACCAACACUUGACAUGUUCGUCGCGACUUUAAGAGAUUAAAGUUUUCGGUUCGGCCGGACGAAACACAGGUGCUGCAUGGCUGUCGUCAGCUCGUGUCGUGAGAUGUUGGGUUAAGUCCCGCAACGAGCGCAACCCUCACUUUUAGUUGCCAUCAUUAAGUUGGGCACUCUGAAAGAACUGCCAGUGAUAAGCUGGAGGAAGGUGGGGAUGACGUCAAGUCCUCAUGGCCCUUACGUGUUGGGCUACACACGUGCUACAAUGAUAUUUACAAAAGGAAGCAAAACGGCGACGUUUAGCAAAUCCUUAAAAAAUAUCUCAGUUCGGAUUGCACUCUGCAACUCGAGUGCAUGAAGCUGGAAUUACUAGUAAUCGUGGAUCAGCGUGCCACGGUGAAUGCGUUCCCGGGUCUUGUACACACCGCCCGUCACACCAUGGGAGUUGGUUCUACCUUAAGGCAAGGUUUUAAACCCUUGACCACGGUAUAGUCAGCGACUGGGGUGAAGUCGUAACAAGGUAGCCGUAGGGGAACCUGCGGCUGGAUUACCUCCUUUCUAAGGAUGAAUGAAAGUUAAAUUUCAUUCUAAAUAAUAUACAGGUAAUGUUGACCGUCCUCAUUUCUCUUCUUAAUUAGUGUUUCUCUUGCAUGGGGGCCGGUAGCUCAGUUGGUUAGAGCACACCCUUGAUAAGGGUGGGGUCGAAAGUUCGAGUCUUUCUCGGCCCACCAAUUUAAGAUCAUGGGGGAUUAGCUCAGCUGGGAGAGCGCCUGAUUUGCAUUCAGGAGGUCAGCGGUUCGAUCCCGCUAUCCUCCACCAGGAACAUUUAGCUAUUAAAAAUUGUAAAUAAAAAUAAUAAUUAAUAUCAAUAUCUAUAUCCGAAUAUUAGUGAUGUUAUUAACUAAUGUUCAAAUAAAAAUUUGAUUCAACACAGAAUUUUUUUCUG
rnacentral:sRNA from 1 species